rnacentral:rRNA from 1 species
GCGUAAGCCCACGCCGGUCGAAGAUACCAGGCCGCUGCGACUGUUUAUUAAAAACACAGCACUCUGCAAACACGAAAGUGGACGUAUAGGGUGUGACGCCUGCCCGGUGCCGGAAGGUUAAUUGAUGGGGUUAGCUAACGCGAAGCUCUUGAUCGAAGCCCCGGUAAACGGCGGCCGUAACUAUAACGGUCCUAAGGUAGCGAAAUUCCUUGUCGGGUAAGUUCCGACCUGCACGAAUGGCGUAACGAUGGCGGCGCUGUCUCCACCCGAGACUCAGUGAAAUUGAAAUCGCUGUGAAGAUGCAGUGUAUCCGCGGCUAGACGGAAAGACCCCGUGAACCUUUACUAUAGCUUUGCACUGGACUUUGAAUUUGCUUGUGUAGGAUAGGUGGGAGGCUUUGAAGCGUGGACGCCAGUUCGCGUGGAGCCAUCCUUGAAAUACCACCCUGGCAACUUUGAGGUUCUAACUCAGGUCCGUUAUCCGGAUCGAGGACAGUGUAUGGUGGGUAGUUUGACUGGGGCGGUCUCCUCCUAAAGAGUAACGGAGGAGUACGAAGGUGCGCUCAGACCGGUCGGAAAUCGGUCGUAGAGUAUAAAGGCAAAAGCGCGCUUGACUGCGAGACAGACACGUCGAGCAGGUACGAAAGUAGGUCUUAGUGAUCCGGUGGUUCUGUAUGGAAGGGCCAUCGCUCAACGGAUAAAAGGUACUCCGGGGAUAACAGGCUGAUACCGCCCAAGAGUUCAUAUCGACGGCGGUGUUUGGCACCUCGAUGUCGGCUCAUCACAUCCUGGGGCUGAAGCCGGUCCCAAGGGUAUGGCUGUUCGCCAUUUAAAGUGGUACGCGAGCUGGGUUUAGAACGUCGUGAGACAGUUCGGUCCCUAUCUGCCGUGGACGUUUGAGAUUUGAGAGGGGCUGCUCCUAGUACGAGAGGACCGGAGUGGACGAACCUCUGGUGUUCCGGUUGUCACGCCAGUGGCAUUGCCGGGUAGCUAUGUUCGGAA